GAGAUGCUGCUCUAGGCUGCAGCGUGCUUUGUCAUUUGUUCUUCCGCCAGCGCCCAUCGUGAAGACCACAGUUUCCUGUCGCGUGGAUGUGUUUCCUCUCUGGCCAUUGCCAUCCGCCCAAAUCUACAGACAUCCUGCAUGUUCCCGGGCUCGUCUCCCCAAUACAGGGCACCAAGGCUGUAGACUGCGCAGCCCUCCUGGAGACAGAUGGAAGCUCCUUGGGUCGACAGAUUACAGCUUCUGGAACCCCCUACUCCCUUUAACUCCGAGAUGGACACUCACUGUCCAGGGAGAGGAUGCCUGGAAAUAACAGCUGGGAUCUACAGUGGCCAAAGAGUUGUCUCCGUCUUGCUACAUCGACAAACUGGUGCUCCUGAGUGAGGAUUGUGCCCUGGGAUGGGGGAUUCAGUUUCUUCAUUUAUAGUUGGAAGUGGGUGAAGUGCCAGGAGCGACAGUACACUCCAGAGUGCUGUGCCCUGAUGGGCCUUUGAGCGGCCAGUGCAGUGGAUCAUCAGCCCUGUCUCCCAAGAGCUCCAAUCUCUUCUCUGGAGAGGAAGGAAGUGAGUCCACUGGCAGCUCAGGAGGCCAUAGCAGGAUUGUCACGUGUGCUCAACAGUCCUCCUCAGCUUUCCAGAAGAGGCUGGAACAGGGCCCUUGAAGAUGUUUGUGGACAUCAGAGGGCCAAAGACGACACAAAGUGAAACUGGAGACACCGCCCCCCUUGGCAUCAUGAAACUGCCGAUGUUACUGGCUCAUGCAUGGGAGACACCAGCAUACAAAGUCUUGACACCAACACCUCAGAGGGCUGGCUGUGUUCUGUCCCCGUGACCAUCAUCUAGUGCCUGGAAAGACUAGUGACAAGAACUUGUUGCCAACUUCCUAUUACCUCCCUAACAGUUGUGCAAUAAACCCCAUAGGUUAAUUCAGUCUGCCUUUUAAA
ensembl:processed_transcript Snhg17 small nucleolar RNA host gene 17